AGAGUUUGAUCAUGGCUCAGAACGAACGCUGGCGGCGUGCCUAACACAUGCAAGUCGAACGGGGUGAGAGAGCUUGCUUUUUCAUCUAGUGGCGCACGGGUGAGUAGCGCGUAGAUAAUCUGCCUUAGACUUUGGGAUAACAGUUCGAAAGGGCUGCUAAUACUGGAUAAGCCCACGUCAUGAAUUGAUGCGGGAAAAGGGGGCCUCUGGAUAUGCUCCUGGUUUAAGAUGAGUCUGCGUACCAUUAGCUAGUUGGUGGGGUAAGAGCCUACCAAGGCGACGAUGGUUAGCUGGUCUGAGAGGAUGAUCAGCCACACUGGAACUGAGACACGGUCCAGACUCCUACGGGAGGCAGCAGUGGGGAAUUUUGCGCAAUGGGGGAAACCCUGACGCAGCAACGCCGCGUGAGUGAUGAAGGCCUUUGGGUCGUAAAGCUCCGUCUAGAGGGAAGAAAUGUACUAUGGUUAAUACCUGUAGUAUUUGACGGUACCUCUGAAGGAAGCACCGGCUAACUCCGUGCCAGCAGCCGCGGUAAUACGGAGGGUGCAAGCGUUGUUCGGAAUUAUUGGGCGUAAAGCGCGUGCAGGCGGUUUAUUAAGUCUGAUGUGAAAGCCCCGGGCUCAACCUGGGAAGUGCAUUGGAAACUGGUAGACUUGAAUACGGGAGAGGGUAGUGGAAUUCCUGGUGUAGGAGUGAAAUCCGUAGAUAUCAGGAGGAACACCGGUGGCGAAGGCGGCUACCUGGACCGAUAUUGACGCUGAGACGCGAAAGCGUGGGUAGCAAACAGGAUUAGAUACCCUGGUAGUCCACGCCGUAAACGAUGAGUACUAGGUGUUGCGGGUAUUGACCCCUGCAGUGCCGCAGCUAACGCAUUAAGUACUCCGCCUGGGAAGUACGGUCGCAAGACUAAAACUCAAAUGAAUUGACGG
rnacentral:rRNA from 1 species